rfam:Burkholderia rhizoxinica HKI 454, complete genome
UUGAGCCGUGUGCUGGGAAACUCGCAUGCACGGUUCUUAGGGGAGCGCGCGCCGGCAACGGCGCGUGCUUACCCGAC